CCUACGGGUGGCAGCAGUGGGGAAUAUUGCACAAUGGGGGGAACCCUGAUGCAGCGACGCCGCGUGAGUGAAGAAGGAUCUCGGUACGUAAAGCUCUAUCAGCAGGGAAGAAAAUGACGGUACCUGACGAAGAAGACCCGGCUAACUACGUGCCAGCAGCCGCGGUAAUACGUAGGGGGCAAGCGUUAUCCGGAUUUACUGGGGGUAAAGGGAGCGUAGACGGCACUGCAAGUCCGGAGUGAAAGCCAAAGGCUUAACCAUGGGACUGCUCUGGAAACUGUGGAGCUUGAGUGCGGGAGGGGCCGGCGGCAUUCCUCGUGUAGCGGUGACAUGCGUAGUUAUU
rnacentral:rRNA from 1 species